rnacentral:lncRNA from 1 species
AUGGGAAGGGAUUACUGUGAAAGGAGCUAACAGAAUGGAUUCCAGCUGAACUUUAUUCUUUUUGUUCCAGAUUUCUUCUCAAAUGUCAAGUUAGUCUUCCACAGAUAAUGCAUUUUAUAUUGUAUGUGAUUCUGGAUAGGUCAUGGAUAAUCUCAGGCAAGGGCUCUGAAUGAGAACAAUUACUGCUUUGGAGGAGAUAUGGAACAGCUGAAUCCUCAGCUUUGGAGGGGACACUAUAGAUAAUCUGGCAAAGAAGGAGGGAAAAGGUCCAUACUAAUACAAGAUGCUAAGACUUUGUCAUCGAAUCCAACAGACAACUACCCAAGUACACACUAACUCUCUGCCAUUAAAGCCAACUACCCAACCCAGACAUACCAGUUACACAAUAAUGCUUCCAUCAGUGGUAACAAUAUGCCAAUGACGUCUUAGCAACAUGACGAUUGUAUGACCAUUACCCGCAGACACACUGGAUCCAAGGAAUCAGAACUUGCCCUCAGGCAGCUUCCCUACUACUAAGCCAAAGUAUUUUGCUGGGGCUGCUGCUGCUACUUCUGCAUGGUGUUGGGAGAGUUCUGUUAUAUAAUAAGAAAUGAUAAGCCAGAUAUUGUCAGAAAAACAUGGGAAGACUUACAUGAAGUUAGCAGAAUGAGGACAACAGUGCACUUGGUAACAGCAAGAUUGUUCAAUGAAGAACUGGGAAUGACGUAGCUAUUCUGACAAAUAUGAAGGACUUAUUGUGAAAAAUGCUCUGCACUUCCAAAAAAAGAACUGAUGAAGUGAAUCACCUCUGGCAACAAUAGCAAACGCUAUGGUUUUGAGAUGAAGAGCACACAAGAUCUGUCAGAUACUCAUUAUCCUUUACAAGUUAUCACUGAAUUACUGGCAGGGGAUGAAUAAUUAUAUUUAAAAAGAACUUGUGUUCCACAGGGUGGACCUUCCCGGAGAAGUCAAGACUCCCUCAGCAGACUCCUACUGGGAACCGAGGACUUCUUAAUUGCUAAAACUUGAGAGCCCCUUGGAGUUGCCUUCAAUUCUCCUCCUCAAGCUCCAGCAUCAGGAUCAAUCAUCACUUGGAACAGACACAACGUCUUACAGCAUUUUAUAAUCAACUUCAGUCUUUUCCUUCACACAGAAAUGUUCUCUGCCCUUUUCAUCCCCAGAUUGCAGUGUAUCUUCCACUCUGAAUGAGUUUCUAAAUAUCACAUGAACGUACCUGAGUCAGACCUAUGGUCUGUAUCCAUGGAAGGAGAACCCGAAAGGUGGAAUGACUAAGCAUCAUCCCCCACGCUACGCCCACCUAAGACUCCCUAUUGUUCAUGCUUUAGGACAAAGAACUCUUUUUUUAAUGAAUUCUUCAUGGAAACAACUAAGCUCCUGGAAGGGUCAGCUCAAGAACCACUUGUAUUAAGGCCUUUCUGGAUUUUCCCUGGGUGUCGGUGGCCUCUCUCCCUGUCACCACAGACUCCAGAAAGUUUCCAGACCUCAGUAGCUCAGUACAAUAAAACAUGGGAGCCACAACCAGAAAAUAAA